UUAAAAAGCUCGUAGUUGGAUCUCGGCGGGCAGGGGGUGGUUCGCUCUUCAGCGCUACUUGCCCCGUCUUUGCCCGUGUUGAUUGGCGGAGGUUUCGGGGUGCUCUUCGUUGAGUGACUCGGAGCGCCGUCAGGUUUACUUUGAAAAAAUUAGAGUGCUCAAAGCAGGCUUUUCACGCUUGAAUAUUCGUGCAUGGAAUAAUGGAAUAGGAACUCGUUUCUAUUUUGUUGGUUUUCGGAAAUCGGGUUAAUGAUUAACAGGGACAAUUGGGGGCAUUAGUAUUCAGACGACAGAGGUGAAAUUCUUGGACCGUCUGAAGACUGACUACUGCGAAAGCAUUUGCCAAGAGUGUUUUCAUUAAUCAAGAACGAAAGUUANAGGUUCGAAAGGCNAUCAGAUACCGCCCUANUUCUAACCAUAAACGAUGCCANCUACCGAUCUGCCGAGUU
rnacentral:rRNA from 1 species